rnacentral:tRNA from 1 species
AGCUUUGUAUUCAAUUUAUGAUUGCAGAAUGCAAUUCUGUAGGAGUGAAAACUUGUAAUUGUUCACUAAGGCUU